rnacentral:lncRNA from 1 species
CUCUGAAAGUAUUGUAUCUUCAAAAUCCACAAAUUAGUUAAAUAAAAGAAUUAAGGCAUGGUAGAAAUAGAGAUGAGGGAAGAAGAAGUUCUUUAAGAUAUCACAAGAUGAUGUUGUGGAAGGAAAUCUAAAAAACACAGCAACCUUUCUCAGGAGAUGUAUCACAGGACUGUCUCUAGUAAAAAAUUACUUUUGAAUUUGAAGAAAUCUUAGAAGUCCAUCAAAAGAUAAUGCAGAGAAAAAAGGAAGAAUUCCCUUCUACCACAUAAAAAAGUUUUAGGAGACUAGAGAAUCAAAACCCAGAUUUAGAACCAAGAUUGGUUUCUGCAAGAAUAUGAUUUUAUACAUAUAUACACAAGAUAACAGUGAUUGAGAAUUUUAUAAAAUAUAAUGAAACAAAUGUGUCCUAAAUGAGUAAAUGAGAAAAUGAUGAUUAUGUUAAAACAGUAGGGACCUAGUCAAUACUAUUAAAGGAUGGGGGAAAACUGGAAAGAAUGCAGAUAUAGAUACAAUUAAUAUUUUCUACAGAAAUGUCAACAGAAAAAUGAUAUAUUGUAAAAGUCAUUCAAGGGGCUGGUGGCUCAGUGGCAGAGCACUUGCCUAGCAUGUGUGAGGCACUAAGUUCGAUCUUCACCACCACAUACAAAAUAUAAGCAAAUAAAACAAAGGCACGCUGUCCAUCUACAACUACCAAAAAAAUAAUUUUAAAAGUCCUUCAAGUGCUGGGAAAACUGGAUAUCCACAUGGAGAAGUAUGAAAUUAGAUAUUCACCUCAAACACUACACCAAAAUCAACUCAAAAUUGAUUAAAUAUUUGAACAUAAAUACUAAAACUAUGCAUGGCAUGGUAGCUCACAUCUGUAAUCUCGGUGGCUUGGGA